GAUGAACGCUGGCGGCGUGCCUAAUACAUGCAAGUCGAGCGAACGGACGAGAAGCUUUCUUCUCUGAUGUUAGCGGCGGACGGGUGAGUAACACGUGGAUAACCUACUUAUAAUACUGGGAUAACUUCGGGAAACCGGAGCUAAUACCGGAUAAUAUUUUGAACCGCAUGGUUCAAAAGUGAAUGACGGUCUUGCUGUCACUUAUAGAUGGAUCCGCGCUGCAUUAGCUAGUUGGUAAGGUAACGGCUUACCAAGGCAACGAUGCAUAGCCGACCUGAGAGGUUGAUCGGCCACACUGGAACUGAGACACGGUCCAGACUCCUACGGGAGGCAGCAGUAGGGAAUCUUCCACAAUGGGCGAAAGCCUGACGGAGCAACGCCGCGUGAGUGAUGAAGGUCUUCGGAUCGUAAAGCUCUGUUGUUAGGGAAGAAAAUAUGUGUAAGAAAACGUGCACAUCUUGACGGUACCUAAACAGAAAGCCACGGCUAACUUCGUG
rnacentral:rRNA from 1 species